CUGUGCUACCAUGUGGCUGGAAGAAUUUGUCUGACACCCUUUUUGUCUUCUCGUAAAUAGCCUUUACAAUUAGCAAUUGUACAAUUUAAAGCGUAGGUAGGUGUUGCGAUUCGCCAACUCUUUGUAGUUUUCCAGCUCCAGCAGGAGGCGCCAUAUCCAUACCUGAAAAUCAGCACCCCAGAGCCUGACUGGCAGAGGUCGCUGAGGCACUGUUUCAGCAGGUCUUCCGGCACUAUGGCCUUCCGGAGAAUAUCGUCUCAGACCGUGGUCCCCAAUUCACGUCACGUGUAUGGAGAGCCUUCAUGGAGAAGCUGGGGGUCACGGUCAGCCUCACAUCCAGGUACCGACCUCAGUCCCACGGGCUGAACAGGUGGAGAGGACCAACCAGGAGCUGGGGAGGUUCCUGAGGAGUCACUGUCAGGACCGGAAGAGGAAGUGGGCCCGGUUUCUCCCCUGGGCGGAGUACGCCCAGAACUCACUUCAUCACUCCUCCACCGUGUUGUCUCCCUUCCAGUGCAUCCUGGGGUACCAGCCGGCCCUGGCUCCGUGGACCCACUCCCGCUACCCCUCUCUAGCGCUCAACGUCGCCGGUCUACUAACCACCGGUCCUGGCAUCCCAUCCUGACGCACACCUGGCAACCUUCAUUAUGCCCACCUGCGCCUCAUUAGGCACACCUGGACUUCAUCACUUCCCUGAUUACUUCCCCUUUAUAUAGCACUCUGUUGUGAUCACCCACCAGGCAAUAUUGUUUAUGUUUCCAUGUUUAAAUGCUUUUCUUGUUUUGUAUCGUUCAAU